GAUUCAUGGAUUAAAGUAUGGGAAACUUAUGACCACACUCCACAGUGAGCUGUACCACUUAGUAUAGUUCAUUACUAUUUUGUGGCCUACAUU